rnacentral:rRNA from 1 species
UACGAGGGGGGCUAGCGUUGCUCGGAAUCACUGGGCGUAAAGGGUGCGUAGGCGGGCCUUUAAGUCCGGGGUGAAAUCCUGGAGCUCAACUCCAGAACUGCCUUUGAUACUGAAGAUCUUGAGUUCGGGAGAGGUGAGUGGAACUGCGAGUGUAGAGGUGAAAUUCGUAGAUAUUCGCAAGAACACCAGUGGCGAAGGCGGCUCACUGGCCCGAUACUGACGCUGAGGCACGAAAGCGUGGGGAGCAAACAGG